rnacentral:tRNA from 1 species
GCACCUGUAGCUCAGCUGGAUAGAGCGCUGCCCUCCGAAGGCAGAGGUCAGAGGUUCGAAUCCUCUCAGGUGCG